CAAAAACAUCGCCUCUUGCUAAAAAUCAAAGUAUAAGAGGUCCUACCUGCCCAGUGACAACCCGUUUAACGGCCGCGGUAUUUUGACCGUGCUAAGGUAGCGCAAUCACUUGUCUUUUAAAUGAAGACCUGUAUGAAUGGUAAGACGAGGGUUUUACUGUCUCCUUCACUAAGUCAAUGAAAUUGAUCUGCCCGUGCAGAAGCGGACAUACCAUUACAAGACGAGAAGACCCUAUGGAGCUUUAGAAUCCUGGCUAACUGUGUAAAGAUUAAACAAAAUUAAUUAACAAAACGGAAUAUAGUCAUGAUCUUAGGUUGGGGCGACCGCGGAGGAAAGAAAAGCCCCCGCGUAGAUAUGGACUAGCUCAUUAAACUAAGAGUGACAACUCUAAGCUGCAAAAAUUUUGGCUUCAAGAUCCGGCCUGAGCCGAUUAACGAAACAAGUUACCCUAGGGAUAACAGCGCAAUCCUUUUCAAGAGUCCCUAUCGACAAAAGGGUUUACGACCUCGAUGUUGGAUCAGGACAUCCUAAUGGUGCAGCCGCUAUUAAGGGUUCGUUUGUUCAACGAUUAAAGUCCUACGUGAUCUG
rnacentral:rRNA from 1 species